UUGUUCACAGACAAGACUCUCCCAUUGCUUACUCACCGUGAUCUACAAGAGAUGGAUAUCCCUGCUGGAGCGAGAUUGCUUAUUCUUGAUUACCUCAAAAGGAAGGAAGAGGUGAAGAAAGAUGUUUGGAACUAGGCUUUAGAAGUGAAAUUUAAGGAAGUGUAUUACAAUACACAUGUAUUGUUCAA